UACGGGGGGGGCAAGCGUUGUUCGGAAUUACUGGGCGUAAAGGGCUUGUAGGUGGCCAACUAAGUCAGACGUGAAAUCCCUCGGCUUAACCGGGGAACUGCGUCUGAUACUGGAUGGCUUGAGUUUGGGAGAGGGACGCGGAAUUCCAGGUGUAGCGGUGAAAUGCGUAGAUAUCUGGAGGAACACCGGUGGCGAAGGCGGCGUCCUGGACCAACACUGACACUGAUGAGCGAAAGCCAGGGGAGCAAACGGG
rnacentral:rRNA from 1 species